ACACCCGCCUCCCACAGCUCCGCAGCUAGAGGAACACCCCCAUUCUCCCUCCCUGGCUUUGCAUGCUGCUUGGCCACGCGGGGCUCAGGAGACAUCCUGAAAGACUCCCUAAGGCUAGGGAGGAAGGGAGAAAGAGGCCGCGGGGAGCAGUGGUGGUCGGGGGUGAUACUUUGACGGAAAAAAAAAAAAAAAGGUCAAACUUGGUCAGCCCGCCAGGCACCCCGCGGACAGCGGGGGCGAGGAGCCGCAGGGGAAAUGUAGAAGUGGCCACCGCCCCCUCCAAGUGGAGGGGGAGACUCAGCCACGCGUCGUCCUGGGCAUUAGAGCAGUAAUGCCCCCAAAACACAGGGCUGCGAAUGGGGUCUGUUGGGGGGAGUGCGCGCCAGAGAUCUCCAAUCAGCCGCCCCCGCAGGCGGAGCGCCCGCCCAACACCGAGAGUGAUCUGCGACCGAGCUGACUGCGGCUUGGGGAGGCUUGAGUAUAGAAGAGGCCAUCGAGCGAUCACCGGAGCUAGGGCUCCCAGCGUCCGGGGCUCCGAGGCUCAGACUACGAGCGCCCCCCGCCACACCCAAACACGGACCCCUCUUUUCCCGUCCCUGGCUCUCCGCACCUGAACUUCGGGGGAGCCCGCGCCGCCAAACUUUCCGCAGACUUGCAGCGAACUCCGGCCCCGGCCGCGCACCGGGCCCCGGGGGAGGAGAGGGAGGCUGCUGGCCCCGGCCAGGAUCCUGAAUGGCUUUUUAGCACGCUCCAAGUUCUACAUUUGGGAGCUACCAGAUGACAAACCUGACUGGCUGAAAGCUGGACUGGCCUUGGGUACCUCCAUCUUCUUGUGGAUCUAUCUCAUCAAACAUAAUGAAGAUGUUUUAGAAUAUAAAAGAAGAAAUGGGUUGGAAUAAACUUUUGAAAUACUAAUA